rnacentral:rRNA from 1 species
CACCUGAUCCCUUCCCGAACUCAGAAGUGAAACCACUUAGCGCUGAUGGUAGUGUGGGGUUACCCAUGUGAGAGUAAGUCAUCGCCAGCU